rnacentral:rRNA from 1 species
GACGAACGCUGGCGGCGUGCUUAACACAUGCAAGUCGUACGGUAAGGCCCUUUCGGGGGUACACGAGUGGCGAACGGGUGCGUAACACGUGCGUAACCUGCCCACAACUUUGGGAUAACGCUAGGAAACUGGUGCUAAUACUGGAUAUGUGCUCCUGCUUCAUGGUGGGGGUUGGAAAGCUCCGGCGGUUGUGGAUGGACUCGCGGCGUAUCAGCUUGUUGGUGGGGUAGUGGCCUACCAAGGCGGCGACGGGUAGCCGGCCUGUGAGGGUGACCGGCCACAUUGGGACUGAGAUACGGCCCAGACUGCUACGGGAGGCAGCAGUGGGGAAUAUUGCACAAUGGGCGCAAGCCGGAUGCAGCAACGCCGCGUGCGGGAUGACGGCCUUCGGGUUGUAAACCGCUUUCAGCAGGGACGAAGCUUUUUGUGACGGUACCUGCAGAAGAAGCACCGGCUAACUACGUG